GAUGAACGCUAGCUACAGGCUUAACACAUGCAAGUCGAGGGGCAGCAUCAUCAAAGCUUGCUUUGAUGGAUGGCGACCGGCGCACGGGUGAGUAACACGUAUCCAACCUGCCGACAACACUGGGAUAGCCUUUCGAAAGAAAGAUUAAUACCGGAUGGCAUAGUUUUCCCGCAUGGGAUAAUUAUUAAAGAAUUUCGGUUGUCGAUGGGGAUGCGUUCCAUUAGGCAGUUGGCGGGGUAACGGCCCACCUAGCCUACGAUGGAUAGGGGUUCUGAGAGGAAGGCCCCCCCACAUUGGAACUGAGACACGGUCCAAAACUCCUACGGGAGCAGCAGUGAGGAAUAUUGGGUCAAUGGA
rnacentral:rRNA from 1 species